UAGAGAGAAUUCUGAGCGAUGAGCAAAUUUCGAAAAUUUGUGAAACGAUUUCGAUCGUGUUUCUCUUGCUUCGGCAAGAGAAAACGAGAUCAAACAGAUUGUAACAUCAUUGAAUCUGUCGUGGAGGAGCCCACGGAAGAGCCCAAGUCACCGUUCUGCCUGG